CACUUUUCACCCUAGGUCCAACUGACUCUAGGUCUAAUGCCUCGAUGUCACAACCUAGGUUUACUUUAACUCUAGGUUCAGUUCUCAACCUAUGUUCUUUAACACUAGGUUAGAUGCCACACACCUAGAUCCCGACUCUAGGUUCAUACUCAACCUAUGUUCUUUAACACUAGGUUAGAUGCCACUCGUUAUUUAUCCUAGGUUCAACAACGCUAGGUUCAAUGUCAUUUAUGUCCGACCUAUGUUUAACACUAGGUUAGUGCCACUCGAUCUACUUGAUUUCCUAUUUGUCAUAUCGAGUCCAUUUGCACAUGCAUCUUAUCUAACAUGCUCACAUGACGUUACAUGCAUCUAGCAUACAUUUCCAAUGCACACAUACAUUUGCAUUAUCACCAGCAUGCAUUCUAUAUCAUAUCAUUUUACAUGGAUCUACUUAGCAUUUACAUCAUAUUAUUAACAUGCAUUAGCUACAUGAAUCAACCACAUGCUUUAUUUACAUUUAUAUGCAUCAUCAUGGAUUCUUAAUCAUCUUAGACAUAAAGGGCGACCUAGUCGCUUCGGUAAACAUAGCCCAACUUAACUCGCGUUCCGAUUGCUCGUUGACACUUGCAAUAGGCUUCCCGCGGCACUCGGCACCCGUUUGGGCCCUAACUCACAGUUGCUCUCCAAGAGCGCGCUGCUGCGCCGUUUCAAGUGCUAACGGUCUUCGCCUCGCCGUUACGAUGCUCGGGACCCGAUUUCAUGAUUUAUGGACGUCGCCUCGGCCCUCCAGGCGGAAACGAAGCUUCAAGCGUCCAUUUCUUCAAUAUCUUUGUAACGGCUCAUCGGAUUGCCGAAUCGUCUUCGCCAACGUGUUUCGUUACCUAUCAAUUAGGUUUACAGAGGGUUAAAUGAGAUCAAACCCUCAUAUAUAUCAAAACGCCAUUUUGGAGCCCUAGGUUUGCAUCUAAGCAAAAACCACCAUUUGAACUCUAGAUUCAAGCAUUAAACAUCUAUUAAGCUUGCUAGAAUUGCAUCUAAACCAUCCUUAGGGUGCAUAAACCAAACCCUAAGAAGUUACCAUUAGAGCCCUAGAAGCUUACCUCUCUAGGUUUGCUCCAAGCACGAGGAAGACGAAGGAGAGGAUGAAGAUCCCCUUCUUGAUCUUCUUCUCCUUCUUCUUCUUCUUUCUCUCCUUCUCCUUCCUCUUCUUCUUCCUCUCCUUCUAUUUCGUUUAGAGAGAGAGAGGGACACGUUUGGGGCUAAACGGGUGAGGGAGGAGAGAGGAAGACCUAAUUUCCUCUUCUAUACACUUAACCCAUGCAUAAAAUGCAAAUAAACCCCUCUACAAUGCCUCUCUUGCAACAACCCGAACUGGGCAUUUUAGGGGUUCGGGGACUGGUCUCUGCAUGCGGGACCGGUCCCUGAGAGACCGGUCUCUCUGCUUGGGACCGGUCCUAGAGAGACCUCCAGCCCAGACUUAGCCAAUUUUCAGCUUCGUCCGUUUUCGCUCCGUUUUCGCCCGUUUUCGUUCAUUUGACCUCCGAUUCAUUUCAAAUCGAACCGAGACUCUCCAAAUAUAUUUUCAAACAUGUUUUCAUCAUCUUUCCAUCCUCGCUAAUGCCGGAUUUAGCUCACGGCCCAACUUAGCCUUUCGGGUUCCGUUUUCGCGCCUAUGCGCACUGAAAUGCCCGAUUGCUCCAGAACUUCACUGAACCUCACGAAACCAUCCAAAUGGCUUUCCAAAGCAACGUACACCAUAACUUCAUAGUUUUAGAAGUCCGGUACCUUACAUCCUCUCCUCCUUAAAAGAGUUUCGUCCCCGAAACUAACUCACUUCAAUCCAAUUAAUACUCUAACUUGGUUUAUCGAGCAAUGGGGGAUUCCAAUGCACUUUUGUGUUCCGGAGUGGUCUUUUACUCAUUGGGAUUAUCCAAAGGCCCACUACGGAGGAUGUGAGACUAGAUUCACUCACAUUUGCUAAGCGUAACUCUGAAAGUGCAUUACGGGUCUCCGUCAUUCCUGGUGGUAGCGCAAGUCGAAGCUCAACGACUCUACGCGCUCCAACACCAUUCACCAUCUGGCAUGCAAGGACUCUUCUUUGCAUUCCACACCUUGUCAGGGAACACACUCCGAUUCGAUUACCGGCGUUGCUUAGAAGCAAUAUCCUUGGUGCAUCGACCCAUCGCGAGUGCUCCAAUCACAUUUGGACUUUUCUCUACCGUGAGAUGGCCUACCCCGGCAUAUCUCAAACCUCCAAUUCUCAAGAGAGCAUUGUCCACAACUCCAUGCGGCUAUCUGGUAUUCAAGUGUCUCCAAGAGACCACUUUUCUUUAUUUCUCAAUUGCCACUUUUAACCUCAAAUUGCUCUACUACGAGAUGGCCUACCCUGGCACAUCUCUCGAACUUCAAUCGACGAAAGAGUGUUAUCUCCAAGUUUUCCAAGUUUUCCCAGCAUAACCCAGCCUGCCCGGGCAAGUUUCAUACUCGGGGACCAGUCUCUCCCGCCAGGGACCGGUCCUAGAGGACCUUCUCUAAUUCACGCGUUCGGGAACCGGUCUCCCUGGCCCAGGGACCGGUUGCCUCGCGCGUCGUUGCAACCACUAGCCGGUGGGACCGGUCUCUCCCUGCCAGGGACCGGUCCCCGAGAGCAAUUUCUGCCAAGUGUAGAUUUUUGCAUAACUUGCUCUCGCGGAUCCGUUACAAUGCACUUUUGGUGCAUUUGACUUCUUCAGCUUUUACAAAGCACUCCCACUCGACAAUUAGUCGAUCUUGAGCGAAGUUCAACUCUCGUAUUUCGAGAAUUCACUUCCCUACUCCAACUCCUCCACAGAGUUAUCGGCUAAACCGAUUACGUCGGCUUUCACAGGUGGACCAACAGUCACCAACAUCACGUAAGCCUACCGCCUAAACCCGUCGCAACUACGCAUAGCGUCUCUCGCUCGCAUCGUAGACCCAAUCCUCAUUUCCUGGCGAAUUUCUCACUUGGGAAUUCGCACACACUCCAACAGGAGCAACCAAGACUCCAAACCACACCAUGUCCUCGGGUUGGGUCACCACACAUUCGGUGUGUCCUCGAUCUUAUGAUCUAACACGUGGCAUUCCACGUACUCGGGUCUAAGCUCGGACUAUCGUCCUGACCAAAACUCUCCGCCCUACCUAUAAGUAUCGGGCCGCUGUCUCUCACAGCUGACUGCGCCGGCCCAAUGGGCUCAGGCUCCACAGUCCACAACUGGUCCAGGCACGGGUCGUCCCCAAGCACUACCCGCCAACGUCGUCCUACACGACAUGCUCUACAGAGCUACACACUCUAUCGGCUCCUAGGCACCUAGUGCGAGCCACCAGCCCUCACGAGUGAUCCAUGGCCCGCUUCACACUUAGCCCUGCUGAAGUGCUACUGCCAAUUCACUCGACCGGCUGAAUCAAAACCGCACUUCACGAGUAUCUAUACUCGAGCGCUCUAUGCCUCUACGACGUCUCACACGAAGUCCAGCAUCAGGGAGCUUAGCCCAUGCGCACCGGCCACACGAGCAACAACUCGUCCACCUCAAUUCGAGGUACUACUAGGCCCACAGGCCAAACUUGGCCUCAACCAACCGCUCUCUCAACAGUGAUUCUACUUUCACUGUUCAAUCUACCGAAACAACAUCCGAGAUGCUCAGGCCACUCGGGUAUUCGCAACGUCACGGCGCAACUCUCGCAAUUUGAUACUCAUUGCCUUGAGAGUCGCUCCACCAUUUCACGUUCACCACAAGUCCCAUUCUUCGUCCAAGAACCAUCGCUAGCGAUUCGCUAGUGUCUCUUGGCUUUCUACCUGCUCCAGUAGGCGCUACACUCUCACGAUGCAAGCAUGCUCGGGUGCUUACCUACUCGACCACUCGGUCCCUACUAUGCAAUAUGUAAUUAGUAGGUGCUGCUCAUAUAAUAAAUGCAUGCAAUGCAUCAACUUGAGAUUACGCAAAAGCAUAUGCUUAUUUAAUUAACUCAUACCUGCAACGGCAUCAUCGAUGGCAGCAGGUUCCUCAACCUGGGUCGCAUAUCCCUGGCCACUUAGUGCUCGCCGCGAACCCUCCAAUUGCAUCGUCCUCAACGGCCGCUCCCCCGAUCAUGCCGCAGGUGGCACACCUGGAGGCUGUCCCAGAGAGGAAUGGGCCGUCGCCAGCAUCAAGGCCUGGCUCUCACUUUGCGGGCACUCGUCCCGCACAUGGCCGGGCUGUCCACAACGGAUACACCGUCCAUCACGCAGCGCACAUCGCCGCGCCUGGUGGGAACCACCACAAAUCACACAUCCAGAGGAGGAUCGGGUAGAGGAUGACCUCGAGCGGUGUCUGGAACUUGACUGAUCACCCGAACCACUCGAUAAUGGCCUCGCCUCUCCUCGCUCAUGCCAACGAGAUUCGCGCUCCUCACGCACGAAAGCCUCGCCAUGCUCCGCCCAUAAAGCCCGAUCCAACACCUCGGCAAAGGUUGUGAGCUGGAAGAUUUGCACCCUCCUAUAAAUCUCCGGUCGGAGUCCACGCAGGAACCAAUCGGCCUUAUCCCUGUCAUCCCGUUCCACAUCCGGGACACAAUUCACGAUGCGGGAAAAUUUUCGUUCGUAUUCCCUCACAGAGCAGUCUCCUUGCCGCAGCUUCCUGAACUUGUCCCGAAGCUUUCUCCUUUCAUUGUCGGGGAAGUACGUAGAAAACAUUAAUCCCCGAAAUUCAUCCCACGCCAUAGGAGGAAGACUAGGUGAUCGAUCCCGUCGAAUGCCUUUCCACCACGCCUUUGCUGAUUGCUUCAAGCAAUGCACAGCUAGGGGCACCUUGUCCCGCUCCAAGGUGUAUAGCUUCUCAAAUAGCGUCUCCAUGGAGUCAAUCCACAUCUCCACGAUCCACGGAUCGACAUCCUCUCCAUCGAAGAUAGGCAGAUCGAAUUUCUUGAAGGUCAUUAGGGUCGCCAAAGUCCGUUCUUUCUCCGCCUCCAAUUCCACAGAACCAGGGGCCACCGCCCCCGAAUCCAUCGCGACUCCUGUUGGUACACGGCACGCUGCUACCGGCGCAGCCGCCGCAGGCUGUCGUGUCUACAAUUCAUAGAGCUCCUUGAUCUGCUCCUCCUGUCGCUGCACUAUACCCAUGAGCGUAUUCAAUUGCUCGCGGAGCAUCGGGUCUCCGCUCACCUCAGUUUGCUCAGGAACACCACUUGUCCCUUCCCGCACCGAUCUGGAUAAGGAUCGCCUACGCGGUGCCAUCGCUUCCUGAAACACGACAACUCGAUUAGUUCUCGACCAACUUGGGUCUAACACGAGACCACUAACAACGGCUCAAAAGCCAAUUAGGCGAAAGUCACGCGAGGGCGUCUAUUCUCAUCACUAGGUUUCAUGUUGUCGUACGCCAACAUGAACAUCCUCGGCUGAGAAUAAACCACACCUCAAGUCUACCUCUAAUAUCCGUCUUAGAGAUUUAUGACACAACCCAAUCCAUUAAGCUUUCGCCACAAUUCAUAGGUCCUCGUCUCUCACGAGCCUUAUUCUCCUAUGGUUUACUAUCCUAGGGUCUCCUAGGUCUGCCUAAACCAUUCUCAUUCUCUACUUUAUUCUCUGAUACCACUUUAUCUGUCACGCCCCGCGACCAACCGCCAAUUUGGACCGGGUCGCGGCGCCGACGACAGACCGCAGAACGGACCGGGGUUUCCCCUGUACGCGGACAGAGUCUCCCCAGUACGUCCUAGGGGUCGCAAUCCAAAACAAUAUAAAUGGUUCCAACCAGGAACAGAUAUCAAUCAUGAUUAAGGAAGUAUCAAACAAUAUAAACACAUCCUAUGUUAUUACAUGCAUUCACGUUAGAUUCAUUUAUUUACAUCAACUUCCAAACCAACUAAGUUAUUACAAGUUUAAUACAUUUAUUCCUCUCAUUUUCUAUACCCCUAAGCUACGUCAACGGGGUACUGCUAGCUCUGGUCUCUGGGGGUAGGGCGCUAUCUAUGGAGCUACGCCCUUACCUCGCGCCGCCGCGCCGCUCACGUGCGAACCUGUAAAACUACAAAACAACGUGGGGUGAGAACCAACUCCAUGGUUCCCAGUGGGUACGGCAACCCAAGGGAGGAGCUCGACCAACAGGUCCACGGGAGGCAAAUACAAGUUAGUCCAAUAAACAGAUAGAUAUGUAUAUCAUAAGCAUGCAACUAACUUUACCUUGCUUUGCUUCACAACUGCAAUGAUGCCAUGCUAUAUGCAACAGGAAUAUAUGCAACAUAAAUAUAUGCAACAACUAGUAGAAUUAUUGAUUCUACAAUCAAUCUCGCUAAUCUUAGCUCAUGUCAUCCAACUCUAAGGUUUUUACUACCUUAGGUUUACACAUUUACCACUAGCCCUCAAGGUUCUAUCUACCUUAUUCCAGCUAGCUACCCGACUCGGCCUCGAGUCAAUCAACAGCAGAUAAUCCAUGCUCUGCCCGGCUCGGGGUGAAGGACCCUGUCACAACGCACCUCAGCCUGCAAGCCAAGAACUACAUCGCCCAACGGUCCGCCCGAAGGUCCGUGCACCGUGGUCAGGGAUCCGCCAGAUGGAGAGGAACAUAGCCGCAUACACCCAUAGCCAAGACCCCCGAUAGGGAGAGGAACAUGCCGCGUACACCCUAGCGCUCUUUGUUCUUACUUAGUCACAAUCCUCAAAGUUCUUCCGGUGGGAGAGGAACAUGCCACAUACACCCGCGGUCCAAGAACUAUUGAGUUCACAAGUCUCAGGAUUUCGUAAUCCACUUCACAAGUCAAGGGUCCAUAUCCAACGCUAUACUAUUGACCUAUCUAGGUCCAAUGCACUUUUCACCCUAGGUCCAACUGACUCUAGGUCUAAUGCCUCGAUGUCACAACCUAGGUUUACUUUAACUCUAGGUUCAGUUCUCAAUCUAUGUUCUUUAACAAUAGGUUAGAUACCACACACCUAGAUCCCGAGUCUAGGUUCAUACUCAACCUAUGUUAUUUAACACUAGGUUAGAUGCCACUCGUUAUUUAUCCUAGGUUCAACAACACUAGGUUCAAUGUCAUCUAUGUCCGACCUAUGUUUAUUAACACUAGG
rnacentral:lncRNA from 1 species